UACGUAGGGUGCGAGCGUUAAUCGGAAUUACUGGGCGUAAAGCGUGCGCAGGCGGUUCGUUAAGUUCGUUGUGAAAGCCCCGGGCUCAACCUGGGAACUGCAAUGGAAACUGGCGGGCUUGAGUGUGGCAGAGGGGGGUGGAAUUCCGCGUGUAGCAGUGAAAUGCGUAGAUAUCAAGUGGAACACCAGUGGCGAAGGCGAAUCCCUGGAAAAUACCUGACACUGAGGCACGAAAGCUAGGGGAGCAAACAGG
rnacentral:rRNA from 1 species